rnacentral:rRNA from 1 species
UACGUAGGGUGCGAGCGUUAAUCGGAAUCACUGGGCGUAAAGGGAGCGUAGGCGGCGCGGUAAGUCGGAUGUGAAAUCCCGGGGCUCAACCCCGGAACUGCAUCUGAUACUGCCGUGCUAGAGUAAUGGAGGGGUAGCUGGAAUUCUUGGUGUAGCAGUGAAAUGCGUGGAUAUCAAGAGGAACACUCGUGGCGAAAGCGAGCUACUGGACAUUUACUGACGCUGAGUCUCGAAGGCUAGGGGAGCGAAAGGU